AGCAGCCGCGGUAAUUCCAGCUCCAAUAGCGUAUAUUAAAGUUGUUGCAGUUAAAAAGCUCGUAGUUGAAUUUCGGGGUUCUACCGUUGGUCGGGCUUUGUCUGUACUGGCGUGUGGAAUUUCUACCUUCUGGGGAACCAUCAUGUUAUUAAUUUAACGUGGUGGGAAACCAGGACCUUUACCUUGAAAAAAUUAGAGUGUUCAAAGCAGGCUUAUGUCUGAAUACAUUAGCAUGGAAUAAUAAAAUAGGACGGUGGUCCUGUUUUGUUGGUUUCUGAAUCACCGUAAUGAUUAAUAGGGAUAGUUGGGGGCAUUAGUAUUCAAUUGUCAGAGGUGAAAUUCUUGGAUUUAUUGAAGACUAACUUCUGCGAAAGCAUUUGCCAAGGAUGUUUUCAUUAAUCAAGAACGAAAGUUAGGGGAUCGAAGACGAUCAGAUACCGUCGUAGUCUU
rnacentral:rRNA from 1 species